rnacentral:rRNA from 1 species
GAUCAUGGCUCAGAACGAACGCUGGCGGCGUGGAUAAGACAUGCAAGUCGAACGGGAGAAUUGCUAGCUUGCUAAUAAUUCUCUAGUGGCGCACGGGUGAGUAACACGUGAGUAACCUGCCCUCUUAGUGGGGGAUANCCCUGGGAAACCGGGGUUAAUACCGCAUACGAUUGAAAGAUCAAAGCAGCAAUGCGCUAGGAGAUGGGGCUCGCGGCCUAUUAGUUAGUUGGUGAGGUAACGG